GAUUGCUGACAUAUUAUAUUUAAAAAUUGGACAGCAAAAGGAUCAAAUUGUGCAUAAAUGCGAAUGAUCAGAAAUAUCGAACCAAGACCUUCAAGAUAGCUGUUUCUCAACCAGGGGUGCAAUCAGCAACUAUGCUGGGAGGUGGAGUGGACAAUUACAAAUUAGAAGUUGUGGGAGAGCUUGACGCAGUAGUUCUUACCAACUGCCUCAAGAAGAAAUUGGGCCAGGCCCAGCUGCUAAGAGUUGGGCCUGUUGCUGCUGGCAACAACAACGCCGGCAACAGGCCCAACACAGGCCCAAGUUCUGACGCAGAGCCCCAACCUUUAGCUCCGCCGGAAACCCAUAGUUACCCUAGCAUGCCUCAAUACCAACUUUUGGAAGCUAUAGACCGAAUUCACAUAAUGUAGCAACAUUAUGUGAAUUAGUUACUUGGAUUAUAUAGCAUGAAAUAAAACGGUAUGUAUAUCGGGGCUAUUGAUACUGAAACAGCACAGCAGAUGAGGAGUACUCAAGUUUCAAUCAUCUAUCUAGUAGAUCGAUCGAUCGAUCGAUCGGUCACCUGUUUUGAUUUUUAUUUUGCAAGUUUUAUUUGUUCCUUUUUGGAUGAUCAUUUGUACGUAUUGUGUUCAACUUUUUGGAAAUUGUCUUGUAACCGUACUGUCAUAGUACCGCUAAAGGAAAUGCUAGUAUACUUUAAAGUGAUGC